CCCUAAGGCGAGGCCGAAAGGCGUAGUCGAUGGGAAACGGGUUAAUAUUCCCGUACUUGGUGUUACUGCGAAGGGGGGACGGAGAAGGCUAUGUUGGCCGGGCGACGGUUGUCCCGGUUUAAGCGUGUAGGUGUGUGUUCCAGGUAAAUCCGGUUCACUUUAACACUGAGGCGUGAUGACGAGGCACUACGGUGCUGAAGCAACAAAUGCCCUGCUUCCAGGAAAAGCCUCUAAGCAUCAGGUAACAUCAAAUCGUACCCCAAACCGACACAGGUGGUCAGGUAGAGAAUACCAAGGCGCUUGAGAGAACUCGGGUGAAGGAACUAGGCAAAAUGGUGCCGUAACUUCGGGAGAAGGCACGCUGACAUGUAGGUGAAGUGAUUUACUCACGGAGCUGAAGUCAGUCGAAGAUACCAGCUGGCUGCAACUGUUUAUUAAAAACACAGCACUGUGCAAACACGAAAGUGGACGUAUACGGUGUGACGCCUGCCCGGUGCCGGAAGGUUAAUUGAUGGGGUCAGCGCAAGCGAAGCUCCUGAUCGAAGCCCCGGUAAACGGCGGCCGUAACUAUAACGGUCCUAAGGUAGCGAAAUUCCUUGUCGGGUAAGUUCCGACCUGCACGAAUGGCGUAAUGAUGGCCAGGCUGUCUCCACCCGAGACUCAGUGAAAUUGAACUCGCUGUGAAGAUGCAGUGUACCCGCGGCAAGACGGAAAGACCCCGUGAACCUUUACUAUAGCUUGACACUGAACAUUGAGCCUUGAUGUGUAGGAUAGGUGGGAGGCUUUGAAGUGUGGACGCCAGUCUGCAUGGAGCCGACCUUGAAAUACCACCCUUUAAUGUUUGAUGUUCUAACGUGGACCCGUAAUCCGGGUUGCGGACAGUGUCUGGUGGGUAGUUUGACUGGGGCGGUCUCCUCCUAAAGAGUAACGGAGGAGCACGAAGGUUGGCUAAUCCUGGUCGGACAUCAGGAGGUUAGUGCAAUGGCAUAAGCCAGCUUGACUGCGAGCGUGACGGCGCGAGCAGGUGCGAAAGCAGGUCAUAGUGAUCCGGUGGUUCUGAAUGGAAGGGCCAUCGCUCAACGGAUAAAAGGUACUCCGGGGAUAACAGGCUGAUACCGCCCAAGAGUUCAUAUCGACGGCGGUGUUUGGCACCUCGAUGUCGGCUCAUCACAUCCUGGGGCUGAAGUAGGUCCCAAGGGUAUGGCUGUUCGCCAUUUAAAGUGGUACGCGAGCUGGGUUUAGAACGUCGUGAGACAGUUCGGUCCCUAUCUGCCGUGGGCGCUGGAGAACUGAGGGGGGCUGCUCCUAGUACGAGAGGACCGGAGUGGACGCAUCACUGGUGUUCGGGUUGUCAUGCCAAUGGCACUGCCCGGUAGCUAAAUGCGGAAGAGAUAAGUGCUGAAAGCAUCUAAGCACGAAACUUGCCCCGAGAUGAGUUCUCCCUGAGACUUUAGAGUCUCCUGAAGGAACGUUGAAGAC
rnacentral:rRNA from 1 species